rnacentral:rRNA from 1 species
CCUACGGGAGGCAGCAGUGGGGGAUAUUGCACAAUGGGGGGAACCCUGAUGCAGCGACGCCGCGUGGGUGAAGGAGUAUUUCGGUAUGUAAAGCUCUAUUGGCAGGGAAGAAUAUAGACGGUACCUGACCAAGAAGCCUCGGCUAACUACGUGCCAGCAGCCGCGGUAAUACGGAGGGGCCACGCGUUAUCCGGAUUCACUGGGUUUAAAGGGAGCGUAGGCGGUGAGGCAAGCCUGGAGUGAAAGGCCGGGGCCCAACCCCGGGACUGCUGUGGAAACUGUCAGGCUGGAGUGGGGGAGGGGGAGGCGGAAUGCGUGGGGUAGCGGUGAAAUGCGUAGAGAUCAGGAGGAACACCGGCGGCGAAGGCGGCCUGCUGGACCGCGACUGACGUUGAGGCUCGAAAGCGGGGGGAGCGAACAGGAUUAGAUACCCUGGUAGUC